rnacentral:rRNA from 1 species
UACGUAGGUGGCAAGCGUUGUCCGGAUUUACUGGGCGUAAAGGGCGCGUAGGCGGCGGGGCAAGUCGGGUGUGAAAUCUCAGAGCUCAACUCUGAAACUGCACUCGAUACUGCUUUGCUUGAGGACUGGAGAGGAGAUUGGAAUUCACGGUGUAGCAGUGAAAUGCGUAGAUAUCGUGAGGAAGACCAGUGGCGAAGGCGGAUCUCUGGACAGUUCCUGACGCUGAGGCGCGAAGGCCAGGGGAGCAAACGGG